UGCGCAUGAUUCCUUUCCUCAGAAUUCUUGUAUGUCUGCUGCCGACACUGGAGAAAACGAGGAGGGAGGCAAGGCGUCAUCUGCUGCCUGCUGAAAAUUAGAGCAAGUGGAGGAAACAGUGCCAAUCCCAAGCCCAAAUAAGAGGAGCGUUCUACAUCUGGGUUUGUGAUCCACUCUGGUAAAAUCUCAUUGCAACAGAGACAUCUUGGUUAAAUCUUGAGGAUGAUGAAUGGAUCGCAUGCUUUAGGGGAGCUUACUCCAUUUUUGCAAUGACAGGGAAUGCCCCGUUCCCAGCUGAUAUGCUCCCCUAUAAGCCUCCUUCAUCACCACACCACUCCAAAACACUGCAUAUAUCACAAGAAUGUUGUUCCGUUGCCAGCACAAGACAAGGGGAACCUGCUGACAAGAAAUGACAGCCAGGAGUAAUAGAGCAAGUUACAUAGUAAACAGAAUAUAUCACUCUUUGGGAGCAUCUGUAACAGAGUCCAUGAAGACAAGAUGGUCUUUCAAAAAUGUCUCUGCAAUUCUUAAUAUAGAUGCAUUUAUUCUACUAUUGUGACCAGAACAGAGUGAGAUGCUCUAGCCAGGAGACUGCGCAGCUCCUUGACACAAGUGGGAGAUGGUUUUCCCUUUAUCCAGUAAACUGUUGAAGAAUCAAAGAAGCCCCCUCCAGAGAGAGUAAAGGUUCAGAAGUGCCCUGCCCUGUGAAGGAGGGAUUCCCUUAGAUGACCCCUCCUCUGAUGCACCAUAAGCCUCCCUCUUUGUGGGGAGGAGGCUGUGCUGAAGAAUUCUGACUGGGGAGCCCAGCCCAUGGAGCAGGCGAGACAAUGAGGCAUAUGAACUACAACUCCCAUGAGGUGAAGUUGGAAGCAACAAGGGCCGGGCUCACUACCUACAAGUUCCUUUUAACACUACAAAACAGAACAAGUUCAAGGUCCCACCCUGUAAUCUGGAAAAACCUAGCACCAACCUUAUGUGCCGAAAUGUACGUCUGUCUGUCCAUCUGUGAGUCUGUCUGUUCAAGAACGUCUUCUAAAUGGUGGACAACAUUAAGAGUUGAUGGUGAGAUGUCUUAAACUGAGGCCAAAAUAUUCAUCUCUGCUCCCACAUUUUUCAUUAGAAUCUGUAGUGGUUGCAAUCUUUGGUUUCCUUAUGCAGCAUUAUUCUUAGACUUAACCUUCAUUGUCAAUACAUUAUGCACAUUUGGGAUGUCUAUGAUGGGGCACACUGUGUCAGGUUCUCUUGGAAAUGUAUAUGGAAUGAAAACAUCAGGAUCUUGAUCCUACAUCCCAUGCACCCCCCAUCUGAUCUGCGGAGCAGGUAGAGCUUUGUAAUCCUGGAGCAAUAUUAUAACGUUUGAAGGAUAUCCUGCAUUGUCAUUGCAUCCUGCAUGGGUACGUCUAGAUUCCACUGGAUAUAACCUCGCCCACUUCGUCUCUCUAAAGUUUGUGAAUAUCUGAAUCAGAGAUAUGAGAGAUUUGAUUCUAAAGAGCCAUGGACCAACUGUGUUUUGGAACUGGAGGCAGUUCAUUGGUACAAACACAGGAAUUGUGUUAGACAGGCACAAACACAGGUCAAUGAAAACAGAAAUGGGAAACCUAAAUCUGCCUCAUCUCCAGGAGAAUCUCACAAGAACAGAAUGGAUUAAACUGUGAACUUUCCAUCUCCCUGAGGAUUCUCUGAUAUUUGUGCAGGCCAGAAGGCUGGACAGAUAGGUGGUCUCCACGGGAGCAAGGAAAUGACCAAUUCUGUCAAAUUAAAAAUUAUUUCUCUAACUCUUCAGUUUGGCAGAUAUAUCCCUAGUAAGCACUCUGGAGCAUGCAGUUCAUUAUAUCAAUAUAUAUCCUUACAAACUCAGGGGACCAACAAAACAGAACAACGACAUGGAAGAAAAUUAUGAGACAAUACAGCUUUUAAGAGACACCAAAGGUAAUUUAUAGACUGAAGCAAAGGUAAAAAAAGGAAUGGUCAUUUUUUUCAAACAUCUUUUCUUUGAAUGUUUACCAAGGAUGUUAGAUAUUGUUUACCCAGAGGAAGAAGAAGGAACAUCAAGGGAAAUCAGGCUCAUGUCAGAGCAGGCUAUCAAGAAUUUAAAGCGUGUAGGAUGGGAUUUUCAAAAGCACUCAGCUUUGGCAAAAACUGCUUCCACGGAAGUUUACUGUAAAACUUGCAGUGACUUCAGUGGGUGCAGAGUUAAGACAACACUGAGCACUUCUGAAAAUUCCAUCUGAAAAAUCUAACAUAUAAUCAGGGCCUAAUGAGUUACAUCCAAUGGUUCUGGUCUGAGGGGAAACCACAUGUUAAGCAUCUAUGUUGCAUAUAUAAAUAUUCAUUGAAAAAAGAGGCAUGAAUAGACUAAAUGCAACAUCUUAAUGAAGAUGAGAUCUACUGCAUAGAAGAUACAAGAAACUAAAGAUUCAUGGUAUCCAGACAUUGUUCAUCAAGAAUACAGAUAAAGUAGUGAUCUUUCUCCUAUGGUGUGACUAGAUAACCAGAUCUUAUCCAUUCAUGUGCAUUUGAAGCCUAUUUCCAGCACUCAGAUUUCGGCAUCAAGCCAGACCUGGUUCUGACGUCUCCAGAUCACUGUUGGGUACAUUUUCUAAAUUCUAUUUUCAGUAUUAAUGUGGAACCAUUCACAGAAUGAUCAGGAGAGGUGGAAAGUGCUAGAGCAGACACUUUUGACCCCGACUUUACUAUUGUUGAACUUCUCAAUUAUCCAAAGUCUGGUUAAGCAUUAGAUUCACAGUCUGCCUUGAUUAGACACUAGGAACAUGUAAUACAUUAUAUUUAAUUUAUACUGCCAAAUCAGUGUGUAAAUGCAGCUAUAAUGCCAAUUUUCAUUUUGUUUACAUCUUGCUGUCUCCAAUGAUCAAGGACUCAUGUCCACGAAUCCAGGGAGACUGCAGUUUGCUUUUAGUAUUUUUAUUGACACUGGGCACUUAUAUUCAAAUGCCAUUCCAAGUUGGCAUCCCAGCUUCCUGGUGAUCACCUGGCCUUCACAACUACCCAACUUGCUUAUUCUAAUACAAUUUAUUUGGCCUUGAAAGCCCCAAGCUUGAAAAAGAUUACAAUUGGUGCAAAAUGCAGCAGCAUGAAUCUUUACAGCACUAAGGCCACAUUAUCCUCAUGCUCCAUUGACUCCCCCAAGAAUUUCAAAUGUAAACUUUGUUUAAUGUCUCAAUGCCCAGUUUCAAGUUUCUAAAUAGUCUGAGCUUAGGACACCUAACUGGCUGUCUCAGACAACAACUUGGCCACCCUUGAUAGCCCCAUUCCUCAGAAGAACAGAACAGACUCCCUUGAGGGUAAAGUUCAUAUGUGUAACCACCAGGACUUUCUCCAGUGUCCAAAGCUCUGACAUUCACCCUGGCAGGUUAUUAAAAGGACCACAAACCUCAACACUUCCUGUUCCAAAUGCAAAGUCCACUUUUUUCUCUCCUUGAUUUCCCAGAAAGUAAUGUGUUGUCAAGGAAGCCAAUACCCCUGGGCAAAAUGGGGGUGGCUAGUUCCAUGCUCCCAAAAGAGCUGGGGCCAAGGACAGCCACCCCUCCACAAGGCCCGAAGCAUAGUACAUUCCUCCCAGCCCUAAGAGCCACACGGAGUGCACAAUGUGGCACUCUAGCAGCAAAUUAAAAGGGUCAGGGCUCCAGCCACUGCUGCUAUCACAGUCACAGCAACCGGGAACCUCACACCCCUUUGAAUUGCUUUGCUCCUCCCCACCCAUCAAUGGGCCUUUAUAUUGCAUGUAAGUCUUAAAUAGGAUAAAUAAAAACAAAACCCAUAUGACUCUCCCUUAGGAAAGGACACAAUUCCCAUAAGUCCUGGCUUAUUUUUAACAGGAAGGUGCUCUGAUACUCCAGUAACUGGUGUAAUAAGGGAACCUAGACAUGUAGAUACUGAGUGAAAUUACUUACUUUGGGCCAAUCAGAGUUUAUAAUGCAGAUGAGGUUGAGUUGGCUGAAGCACGAACCAGAUCAGACUAGUAUUGGGGGCCUUGUUUCUAGACCUUGCUAUCCCUCACCUUCUUCCUUGACCAGAGUCUAGAUUUAAGGACUUUUGUGGCUUCUGCAAGACUUAUCUGCUUCCCUCUUCUUAAUACAUAUAUUUACAUGCAUGCUGUUUUAUUAUUACUACACAUUUGUAUCCUAUGUAUAAUUUUUUUAAAACAUUUAGCUGAUCUCAUGUGCUGCAGAACCCAGUCCAAAUUUUAGAUAACUCGUUUUUUACUUAUUUGUUUAAUGAACAACAGACCACAGGCAGUUUGGUUUGGGAUAAGCAUUUGAAAGUUGGGAAAAUUUUGCAAAACUUUUUUCUGAAUAUUCAGCAUCUCUUUCUUUGCAUUCCCAAACCAACAUUUUUCUCCCUCAGUUGUACUUUGACAUGCUUUGUAAAAUGCUUCAUACCUUUCAGAUUACCUAGCUCUUGCUGUACCACAAUGACCCAGGUCUUCAGUGGAAAUGUACACAGUGCUUUUCAUACCCUGUAAAUAGCAGCAAGAGAGUGCAGGAGACCCAACACACUUUUCAUUGACAUCUACAUUUAAUAGUUUCAUUGCUUUUGAGUUUGCUUUGACCUCAGCAUGUCUGGCUCACUUGUAAAGAUCCAUCAUUACUGAGAUUUGAAUGAAUCUGGGACUGGUCAAAGGUUGCACAGUCUGAGAUGAGACAGAAGGAGAAGCAAGCAGAGCUUAGUGUCUCAGUUCAGCUUCACUGCCAUCAACCUAUCAAACCAGCAGCUGAGCUCUCCAAAAGAUGAAGUGGAAGAACAUUUCAAAGAGUUAGGACUGGAAGCCGGUUUGGAGCACCUGUUUAAUAUUGUCCAUUUCAAACCUUAAAACAGCAUGGAUUCCCUUUUGUUCUGGAGGCUGGUUAAUGUUCAUAAGGGAUUUUUGGUUUUUCUGAACCACUUUGGCAAAGGCUUUCGCAAUCUGAUUGCAAUUGGGUGGUGCAGAUCACGGAAUCAAGUUUUAUUAAAUCUGGUCUAUAUUAACUAGCCUAAUGUGCAAAAGACCUGUGUGAUAUCUAAUAUGGCAACUAACACUUACCUUUUGCUUAGAUUGUAAGCUCUUCAUGGGAGGAAGGGUCUCUUUGUUGUUUGGUCUUACAUCACCUGGCACAACAGGGUCCUAGUCCUUACCUGGGAUUCCCAUGCAGCAUGGUAAUGCAAAUAAAUAAUAUCAACAAUUGAGCAUGAAGUUUUUAUCUUGAUAACCACCGCAGUACUCACCAGAUUUUACUGUGCUAGGAAGAUAAAUGCCAAAAAAGUAUCUAGAAAGAUUCUUCUUAUCUUCAUUUUCAUUUUCCAAAUGCACCGUGUAGCCUUCUGUCCUAUUAUUUCCACAAACAUCCACUAAGUUACAUCUGAGAGAGUCAGCAUCUUCCAUUCCCAGUGCUAGAGUGACCUGCAUGCCCCAGGUUGAGAACAUUGAUGAAAACGACCAGUCUAAGCUGCAGUGCUCAGCAUGGCAUCCUCUUAGCUUUUUUGCCCUCUCCCCAGUUUGACAUAAAAUAACCAAAGCAAAGCAGUAGCCAUUUCAAAUGUGAUGUCACGGGAAGCUUAGCCAUUGUGUCUUACUGGCCUAUGAGAUCCAGCUUUUGCCAUCUGAUGAGAGUGGAACAAAUCUUGUUCUCAGACCUAGUUCAAGAGAAGAAUCCUUUUUUGCAAUGCCUUCCCCAAUGGCAGCACUCCCUUCACUGAUGAGGGAAGGCCUGGUAGAUUCAUAUGGUAUUCACUGAUUCCUUGGUCCUACCCAUCACCAUGGAAACAGGUGGGCUACAUAGAGUGCAGGAGAGCACACACUGCAGGCUUCCUGAAACUAUUUUCACAUACCUUCAUAGUGGAAUCCCAUUAGUUAUACCAGGAAUGGCAAUUCCACUAUUUCUGGGAUGGAUUCAUUUGUCCCUCUGGGACCUACUGAGAGCACAGCAACAAGAAGCCCAUAUUGUAAUGGUUUUAAACAGCACGUAAGAUAAGGAUUUUUCUGAUGAUAUUUUCAUGUCUUGUAGUUCAAUCAUAUUACAAUGAAGAUUUGGGGAAAACACAUCAACUUUUAAAAGUCAUUAUCAACUAACUUAUCAUUUUUCAUAAAUAUCAUAACAUUUCUAAUAAUCAAAUUUUAAAAUAGAAACAAACAUUUAAAAAGUUAAAACAGUUACCAGAUGCAACCAAACAGAAUAAUAGGAAAUGCUAGUUUAGUUUAUAGUUACUAUUGUUUUGUUAACUAGAAAAAAAGAAAAAGAAGAUACUGGAUAAGAAGGGGGAUUAGGAAUCAUUGCAUGCCUAUGUUAGAUAAAUUUGUCAUAUAUUGAAUAUAAAACACCAAUGACUCAAUGAUCUUUUGUUUCUUUUAAUUCAAGUAAUUAUUCAAUGGACUUCAGAAGUUAAGGAAAGACUAGAUAUUGCUAUGUUUGAAAGCAUAACUCCUCAUGUCUGUACCUCAUGGUCAACGUCGAGGUACAAA